AUUGAACGCUGGCGGCAUGCCUUACACAUGCAAGUCGAACGGCAGCACGGGAGCAAUCCUGGUGGCGAGUGGCGAACGGGUGAGUAAUAUAUCGGAACGUGCCCAGUCGUGGGGGAUAACGUAGCGAAAGCUACGCUAAUACCGCAUACGAUCUAUGGAUGAAAGCGGGGGAUCGCAAGACCUCGCGCGAUUGGAGCGGCCGAUAUCUGAUUAGGUAGUUGGUGGGGUAAAGGCCCACCAAGCCGACGAUCUGUAGCGGGUCUGAGAGGACGACCAGCCACACUGGGACUGAGACACGGCCCAGACUCCUACGGGAGGCAGCAGUGGGGAAUUUUGGACAAUGGGCGCAAGCCUGAUCCAGCAAUGCCGCGUGCAGGAUGAAGGCCUUCGGGUUGUAAACUGCUUUUGUACGGAGCGAAAAGGCUUCCACUAAUACUGGGGGCUCAUGACGGUACCGUAAGAAUAAGCACCGGCUAACUACGUGCCAGCAGCCGCCGUAAAAC
rnacentral:rRNA from 1 species